AGCAGAGUAGAGCAGUAGGGAGCUCGCUAGGUUCAUAACCUAGAGGACGUGGGUUCGAGUCCCACCUCUGCAA
rnacentral:tRNA from 1 species